rnacentral:misc_RNA from 1 species
GAUGAAGAACGUAGCGAAAUGCGAUACGUAAUGUGAAUUGCAGAAUUCAGUGAAUCAUCGAAUCUUUGAACGCAUAUUGCGCUCUCUGGUAUUCCUUAGGGCAUGCCUGUUCGAGCGUCAUUUAAACCUUCAAGCUAAGCUUGGUGUUGGGUGACUGUCCGCUUCACGGCGGACUCGCCUCAAAAUUAUUGGCGGCCGGUACAUUGGCUUCGAGCGCAGCAGAAACGCGAACUCGGGCCCGUCGUAUUGGCUCCCAGAAGCUAUCUUCACAAUUUUGACCUCGGAUCAGGUAGGGAUACCCGCUGAACUUAAGCAUAUCAAUAAGCGGAGGA